rnacentral:rRNA from 1 species
UUAACACAUGCAAGUCGCACGAGAACGCUUCUGCUUGCAGAAGCUAGUAAAGUGGCGCACGGGUGAGUAACGCGUGGGUAAUCUACCUUUAAAUCGGGGAUAACAUUGCGAAAGCGAUGCUAAUACCGGAUAAUAUCUAAUGGACUUCGGGUUUAUAAGAUCAAGGGGGGCCUCUAUAUAUAAGCUUCCGUUUGAAGAUGAGCCCGCGUACCAUUAGCUUGUUGGUAGGGUAAUGGCCUACCAAGGCAACGAUGGUUAGCUGGUCUGAGAGGAUGAUCAGCCACACUGGAACUGACACACGGUCCAGACUCCUACGGGAGGCAGCAGUGAGGAAUUUUGCGCAAUGGGGGAAACCCUGACGCAGCAACGCCGCGUGAGUGAUGAAGGCUUUCGGGUCGUAAAGCUCUGUCAAGUGGGAAGAAAAUGCAAAAUGUCAAUAUCAUUUUGCACUGACGGUACCACUGAAGGAAGCACCGGCUAACUCCGUG